rnacentral:tRNA from 1 species
GAAAAUCCGUCGACUUUAGAAAUCGCGAGGGUUCAA